rnacentral:tRNA from 1 species
AUAGCUCAGUUGUAGAGUGUGUGCUUAACAUGUACAAGGUCCUGGGUUCAAUCCUCAGU